AUGACUUUGAGCUCCAUCCUCAUCUGGACUCUCCUCUGCUGCUGCUUGACAGAGUCCAGAGGCCAGGUCACAGUGACUCAGCCUGGAGCAGUGAGGGCUGCUCUGGGAGCCUCCAUCACCAUCACAUGUAAAACCAGCCAGAAUGUUCAUGUUUAUAACAGCGACCACUAUUUAGCCUGGUACCAACAGAGAGAUGGAGAAACUCCUAAACUCCUCAUUUACUAUGCUAAUACUCGAGUAUCAGGGAUUCCAGAUCGUUUUACAGGCAGUGGAUCAAGGAGUGACUUCACUCUGACCAUCAGUGGAGUCCAUGCUGAAGAUGCAGCAGUUUACUACUGUCAGAGUCUCCACAAUAUCAACAGUCAGUGGCUGUUCACACAGUGAAAAAGCGUCGUAC